AGACUCCACCUUGGCGGGAUGUGCAGGUGAAGUGCUCCAGCUCUGAGGACGAAUCCUGGAAGAGAAAACCUGAUCCCAGGGCAUGAAGAAGGAGGAAAAGGAUGCAGGAAAGAAUUUAAGAGGCAAAGUGGAUGUGAUAAAGGAACGAGAAGAUCAUGAGAAAAGAUGAAAAAGAGAACAGUGACUGACCCAUGUCAUGAAGCAUCAGUUUCUAAACUUUGCUGUAUGCAGGCUCAAUG
rnacentral:lncRNA from 1 species